GAUGAACGCUGGCGGCGUGCCUAAUACAUGCAAGUCGAGCGAAAGGACGAGUAUCUGGGUGUACUGGUGUUAGCGACGGACGGGUGAGUAACACGUAGAUAACCUAUCUAUAAGACUGAGAUAACUUCGGGAAACCGGAGCUAAUACCGGAUAAUAUUUUGAACCGCAUGGUUCAGAAGUGAUAGACGGGCUUGCUGUGACUUAUAGAUGGAUCCGCGCUGCAUUAGCUAGUUGGUAAGGUAACGGCUUACCAAGGCAGCGAUGCAUAGCCGACCUGUGAGGGUGAUGGGCCACACUGGGACUGAGCGGCGGUACAGACUCCUACGGGAGGCCGCGGUAGCGAAUCGUCCGAGCUGGGCGGAAUCCUGCCGGAGGAACGCCGGGCGGAUGAUGCAGGGCUUCGGGCCGUAUAACUCUGUUAGUGGUGAAGAACAUUUUUGUACGUAACUGUGCACAGCUUGACGGUACCGAGUCAGAAAGCCACGGCUAACUACGUG
rnacentral:rRNA from 1 species